CAAAUCAUUAUACAUUAAUAAUAUCGAAUAAGAAACAUAACCAAUAACAUUAUUGAUUUACACAAUAUAUAACACUAAAAUGUAAAUUAUAUCUUUGAAAGUUUUGUGAUGGUAUAUGUUAUAUAUUUAUAAAAUAAAAAUCUACCCGCACAUAAAAAUCUAGUGUGGUAUGAAAAGAUCUUCGACAUAGUUUAAGUACUAUCUUCAAGCAAUAAUUUUCAUAAAGUUGAAUAUGGUGUAUGUGAAUUUGUCAAACCUUUAUAUUUAAAUUGUUAACCGUAAAAUCGUCGAUAUAUUAACUUUUUUUUUAUCAGUGUUAAAAAGGCGCUAUUAGGCUACAAUGUACUGUACAUGGUAUUAUGGUUAUGUUUGAAAGAAGGCAACCAACAUAAUGAUGACCCUAAACUACUACAUAUAUUGGGUCUGAGGGAUCGUAAGUAAUUAAAAAUAAGCCCAUAUUAUAGCUGUAAAGGCCCAAACGUUUUAACUAGCCCGGCCUGUUUAGAGGAAUCGUGAUCGGUGUUUUCUUCCGACCAAAUAUUUCAGAUAAGCAGAAGACGAGAGAGAUUGCCGAAGCCGAGGAAGCUAACGAUUAAGAGGGUAACCAAAUGUGAAAUGGAACUGUAGAAACAACCAUGGGUUGUUCGAUUUCCUGAAGAAGCAAAGGGUGCCUUGUUGUGCGGCUGCUAAGCUUCAGUGAGUCACACCGUGAUAUUAAGAUUUAUGGAAGGCCAUUGACUAUCAAGUAUCAACAUAAGCUUUCUUAGCAAGGACAGUUAGAUGAACCACACUUGUAAUAAUAAGAUUAGAGGGUUAUUAACUUGUAAGUCACACUUUCUUAGCAAAUCUCAUUACAAUUAACUCAA